UACGGGCCGGUAGAGUGAGCGCGUCGUCAUCACACCCGUACGGGGGGAAGCCGGUGCAAAUCCGGCGCUGACCCGCAACCGUAUGCCGCUCGCGCGGUGAGCCGGACUGCCCCGCACAGGACGUGACCGGCU
rnacentral:ncRNA from 2 species